AACAAGGUCUCCGUUGGUGAACCAGCGGAGGGAUCAUUACCGAGUUUACAACUCCCAAACCCCUGUGAACAUACCUUAAUGUUGCCUCGGCGGAUCAGCCCGCGCCCCGUAAAACGGGACGGCCCGCCAGAGGACCCAAACUCUAAUGUUUCUUAUUGUAACUUCUGAGUAAAACAAACAAAUAAAUCAAAACUUUCAACAACGGAUCUCUUGGUUCUGGCAUCGAUGAAGAACGCAGCAAAAUGCGAUAAGUAAUGUGAAUUGCAGAAUUCAGUGAAUCAUCGAAUCUUUGAACGCACAUUGCGCCCGCUGGUAUUCCGGCGGGCAUGCCUGUUCGAGCGUCAUUUCAACCCUCAAGCCCCCGGGUUUGGUGUUGGGGAUCGGCUCUGCCUUCUGGCGGUGCCGCCCCCGAAAUACAUUGGCGGUCUCGCUGCAGCCUCCAUUGCGUAGUAGCUAACACCUCGCAACUGGAACGCGGCGCGGCCAUGCCGUAAAACCCCAACUUCUGAAUGUUGACCUCGGAUCAGGUAGGAAUACCCGCUGAACUUAAGCAUAUCAUUCCCCUUUUUUCCAAAAAGGAGCAAAAGAAACCAACAGGGAUUGCCCUAGUAACGGCGAGUGAAGCGGCAACAGCUCAAAUUUGAAAUCUGGCUUUCGGGCCCGAGUUGUAAUUUGUAGAGGAUACUUUUGAUGCGGUGCCUUCCGAGUUCCCUGGAACGGGACGCCAUAGAGGGUGAGAGCCCCGUCUGGUUGGAUGCCAAAUCUCUGUAAAGUUCCUUCGACGAGUCGAGUAGUUUGGGAAUGCUGCUCUAAAUGGGAGGUAUAUGUCUUCUAAAGCUAAAUAUUGGCCAGAGACCGAUAGCGCACAAGUAGAGUGAUCGAAAGAUGAAAAGCACUUUGAAAAGAGAGUUAAAAAGUACGUGAAAUUGUUGAAAGGGAAGCGUUUAUGACCAGACUUGGACUUGGUUAAUCAUCUGGGGUUCUCCCCAGUGCACUUUUCCAGUUCAGGCCAGCAUCAGUUUUCGCCGGGGGAUAAAGGCUUCGGGAAUGUAGCUCUCUUCGGGGAGUGUUAUAGCCCGUUGUGUAAUACCCUGGUGGAGACUGAUGUUCGCGCUUCUGCAAUGAUGCUGGCGUAAUGGUCAUCAACGACCCGUCUUGACACGGGAGCCU
rnacentral:rRNA from 1 species